rnacentral:rRNA from 1 species
UCCAGGUAAAUCCGGUACCUUUUAACGCUGAGGUGUGAUGACGAGGCACUACGGUGCUGAAGUAACAAAUGCCCUGCUUCCAGGAAAAGCCUCUAAGCAUCAGGUAACAUUAAAUCGUACCCCAAACCGACACAGGUGGUCAGGUAGAGAAUACCAAGGCGCUUGAGAGAACUCGGGUGAAGGAACUAGGCAAAAUGGUGCCGUAACUUCGGGAGAAGGCAC